ACAUCUUGCAAGCAUUUGAGUUUGCUCUUGCGUCACCGGUGACAAUCGAAAUUAGAUGUGAGCCAAAUAAAGAUACAGCAACUGAAGUUAAUGCCCCUCUAAGCUUACCUGCACCUAUAAACGGUUCAUCUCAGAUCAGAGAUUCCACUGGCAUCAGUGGUCAGCCCCAUCUUGAAGUGGGUAAAAGUGAAAUAGUUGAACUAGAAGCUUCCUCUAGAGAGCUUACGCUAAAUGGGCAUGUCAAUAACAAUGUGAAAUUUGAUCAAAGAGGCUUAGAAGUAGCUUCCCACGUGGAAAGAGUAAAAUCUAGUGAAAGGAACCCAGGCCAGAGCAUUGUGAGAGGCAAGGUAUCCCUUGCACAUGUGAUACAGCAAGCUGAAGGGUGCUCACAGCAUAGUAGCUGGUCAAGACGCAAAGCAGUUUCCAUCGCCGAAAAGCUUGAACAAGAGAAUCUGAGACUUGAACCAAGGUCUAGAAAUUUGCUUUGCUGGAAAACAUCUAGAGCAACUCGUAAAAAGCUCUCUCGCUUGAAAAUUAGAACGAGGAGGCCACACGCACUGCUGAAGCUUGUUACCUGUGGGAGGUGUCUAUCAAGUAAGUCUUCGAGAUAAUUGAUUGGGAACGCUUGGGAUGUAAAAUCUGUAGCUGCCUUCAACUCAUUAAAAUCUACAAGAAUUUUCUGCUAGUUUCAAAGUCGAUUUUAUUAGUCUUUGUCUGUUUAGAUUUAAUAAUAAGGUGAGGUAUAUUGACUGGAAGUUGUAGGAAUGGAAAUUGUUAGCUCAGUUUAUUUUUAAUGAAUUUCAUUAAUUUCAUC